AUUUCCUGUAGAGUAUUCAAUAUCUACGGGAUGAUUCUUUCAUGAUUUUAUUCGUGAGGCGAUAGAUUAUUGCAGGGGCGUUGAGUCGCUUCGUCUAUGUUUAACCAGGCAUAGCGAAUAAGCUCGUGCUAUAU
rnacentral:misc_RNA from 1 species